GGCCUCUCUCCCAUGGGGCUGGAGGGUCCCUUUUCUCUUAGCCAGGGCUGGAGGCCAAGAUCAGCCCUUGAGGGUCAUUGUCAGGGUUGCCACAGGCUGGCAGCCUUGUUUUCCUGCCUCAGACAUCU
rnacentral:snoRNA from 1 species